CAGUCGAGCGAGCGGAACCACAGAUUUACUUCGGUAAUGACGUUGGGAAAGCGAGCGGCGGAUGGGUGAGUAACACGUGGGGAACCUGCCCCUAAGUCUGGGAUACCAUUUGGAAACAGGUGCUAAUACCGGAUAAUAAAGCGGAUCGCAUGAUCAGCUUUUGAAAGGCGGCGUAAGCUGUCGCUAAGGGAUGGCCCCGCGGUGCAUUAGCUAGUUGGUAAGGUAACGGCUUACCAAGGCGACGAUGCAUAGCCGAGUUGAGAGACUGAUCGGCCACAUUGGGACUGAGACACGGCCCGAACUCCUAUGGGAGGCAGCAGUAGGGAAUCUUCCACAAUGGACGCAAGUUUGAUGGAGCAACGCCGCGUGAGUGAAGAAGGUUUUCGGAUCGUAAAGCUCUGUUGUUGGUGAAGAAGGAUAGAGGUAGUAACUGGCCUUUAUUUGACGGUAAUCAACCAGAAAGUCACGGCUAACUACGUGCCAGCAGCCGCGGUAAUACGUAGGUGGCAAGCGUUGUCCGGAUUUAUUGGGCGUAAAGCGAGCGCAGGCGGAAAAAUAAGUCUAAUGUGAAAGCCCUCGGCUUAACCGAGGAACUGCAUCGGAAACUGUUUUUCUUGAGUGCAGAAGAGGAGAGUGGAACUCCAUGUGUAGCGGUGGAAUGCGUAGAUAUAUGGAAGAACACCAGUGGCGAAGGCGGCUCUCUGGUCUGCAACU
rnacentral:rRNA from 1 species